rnacentral:rRNA from 1 species
UACAGAGGUCUCAAGCGUUGUUCGGAUUCAUUGGGCGUAAAAGGGUGCGUAGGCGGCGCGGUAAGUCGGAUGUGAAAUCUCGGAGCUUAACUUCGAAACUGCAUUCGAUACUGCCGUGCUUGAGGACUGGAGAGGAGACUGGAAUUUACGGUGUAGCGGUGAAAUGCGUAGAUAUCGUAAGGAAGACCAGUGGCGAAGGCGGGUCUCUGGACAGUUCCUGACGCUGAGGCACGAAGGCCAGGGGAGCAAACGGG